rnacentral:rRNA from 1 species
ACGUAGAUGGCGAGCGUUGUCCGGAAUUACUGGGUGUAAAGGGAGUGUAGGCGGGCUGGUAAGUUGAAUGUGAAACCUUCGGGCUCAACCCGGAGCGUGCGUUCAAAACUGCUGGUCUUGAGUGAAGUAGAGGCAGGCGGAAUUCCCGGUGUAGCGGUGGAAUGCGUAGAUAUCGGGAGGAACACCAGUGGCGAAGGCGGCCUGCUGGGCUUUUACUGACGCUGAGGCUCGAAAGCAUGGGUAGCAAACAG